rnacentral:rRNA from 1 species
ACCGGGAGAUAGCUGGUUCUCCCCGAAAGCUAUUUAGGUAGCGCCUCGUGAAUUCAUCUCCGGGGGUAGAGCACUGUUUCGGCAAGGGGGUCAUCCCGACUUACCAACCCGAUGCAAACUGCGAAUACCGGAGAAUGUUAUCACGGGAGACACACGGCGGGUGCUAACGUCCGUCGUGAAGAGGGAAACAACCCAGACCGCCAGCUAAGGUCCCAAAGUCAUGGUUAAGUGGGAAACGAUGUGGGAAGGCCCAGACAGCCAGGAUGUUGGCUUAGAAGCAGCCAUCAUUUAAAGAAAGCGUAAUAGCUCACUGGUCGAGUCGGCCUGCGCGGAAGAUGUAACGGGGCUAAACCAUGCACCGAAGCUGCGGCAGCGACGCUUAUGCGUUGUUGGGUAGGGGAGCGUUCUGUAAGCCUGUGAAGGUGUACUGUGAGGUAUGCUGGAGGUAUCAGAAGUGCGAAUGCUGACAUAAGUAACGAUAAAGCGGGUGAAAAGCCCGCUCGCCGGAAGACCAAGGGUUCCUGUCCAACGUUAAUCGGGGCAGGGUGAGUCGACCCCUAAGGCGAGGCCGAAAGGCGUAGUCGAUGGGAAACAGGUUAAUAUUCCUGUACUUGGUGUUACUGCGAAGGGGGGACGGAGAAGGCUAUGUUGGCCGGGCGACGGUUGUCCCGGUUUAAGCGUGUAGGCUGGUUUUCCAGGCAAAUCCGGAAAAUCAAGGCUGAGGCGUGAUGACGAGGCACUACGGUGCUGAAGCAACAAAUGCCCUGCUUCCAGGAAAAGCCUCUAAGCAUCAGGUAACAUCAAAUCGUACCCCAAACCGACACAGGUGGUCAGGUAGAGAAUACCAAGGCGCUUGAGAGAACUCGGGUGAAGGAACUAGGCAAAAUGGUGCCGUAACUUCGGGAGAAGGCACGCUGAUAUGUAGGUGAAGUCCCUCGCGGAUGGAGCUGAAAUCAGUCGAAGAUACCAGCUGGCUGCAACUGUUUAUUAAAAACACAGCACUGUGCAAACACGAAAGUGGACGUAUACGGUGUGACGCCUGCCCGGUGCCGGAAGGUUAAUUGAUGGGGUUAGCGGUAACGCGAAGCUCUUGAUCGAAGCCCCGGUAAACGGCGGCCGUAACUAUAACGGUCCUAAGGUAGCGAAAUUCCUUGUCGGGUAAGUUCCGACCUGCACGAAUGGCGUAAUGAUGGCCAGGCUGUCUCCACCCGAGACUCAGUGAAAUUGAACUCGCUGUGAAGAUGCAGUGUACCCGCGGCAAGACGGAAAGACCCCGUGAACCUUUACUAUAGCUUGACACUGAACAUUGAGCCUUGAUGUGUAGGAUAGGUGGGAGGCUUUGAAGUGUGGACGCCAGUCUGCAUGGAGCCGGCCUUGAAAUACCACCCUUUAAUGUUUGA